UUAAAAAAAAUAGUGUAGUGUACAGUUAGCAAGCUCAUCAACAAAAACAGAAGCGGAGGAACCAAAGAAGAAGGAAGAAGAAAAGGAAGAACAAGAUCAAUUGAACGUUUGGACGUUUCGUUUUGAAUUUUGGGGAAAAACAGAGGAAAUAUGGAGAAGAAGAAGAGUAAGAAGAAUCAGAAAGGUGGUGGUGUGGAUGAGCAAGUUGAGAAGAAGAUAUAUCUGACUGGAGAUGAGCAUUACGAGCUCUAUGAGGAGGUUGGCCAUGGUGUUAGCGCUUCUGUACAUCGAGCUCUCUGUAAGCCCUUAAACGAGAUUGUCGCCAUCAAAAUUCUUGAUUUCGAGCGCGAGAAUUGUGAUUUAGUACUUUUUAUUGUUAAAUUUUUGAGAUUUGGUAUUGUGUAAAAAAAUAUAUACAAAUAGCAUAUUAGGAUCUGUAAAAUUAAAAAUAUGGGUGAUGAUUUCUUAUUAUUGUUUUCGUUAGUUACCAGAAAGUGGUCAAAAUAUUCAUAAUUCUAUUCUAGCUAAAUACUCAAUUUUAUGUUAUGAGUGAUAUAAGGCAAUGGUGGAUUUGCUAUUAUAAGCAAACUAUAUUGAUUCAAUACUGUAUAUGAAUAGAAAAGUGGUAUUUUUCUCUUGCUUAUUUUAA